GCUGGAAGAAAUGCAAAGAUCAACACUUGUGAGGUGGCAUUUGUCAAAUUCUCUUCUUGGCUGGCAGAGAGCCAGCAGGGUGGCUAGUCCCCUUUCAGAGGCUGAACUGCAGGCAACCUCCAUAUGCACAAGGUGACAGACUCUGGGCAGCAUGACCUCAGAGCCAGGUUUCUAUUGGGCUACUGCCAAUGCCACAGUCAGCCGGGGCUGUUUCUCUACUGUAUUUCCUCCAAAUAGAGAAGACAUCUGAUGUCCCUGGGAUCACAAGGAGGCCCCUCCCUCCCUCACUCUCCUCACCCAGCACCCACCAGGCAUCUGCAUGCUGCUCCCUGGGGAGGGCUUUCCUGCAAGGCUGACAUAAAAGCUCAGCUCUAACCUGGCCUUGACUCACCAGGACUCCUCAGCUCAGCUUCUCAAAAUGAGGCUCCCUGCUCAGCUCCUGGGGCUGCUGCUGCUCUGGAUCCCUGGAUCCAGUGGGGAUAUUGUGGUUACCCAAAGUCCUCUCUCAGAGCCCGUCACCUCUGGACAGCCACUCUCAAUCUCCUGCAGGUCCAGUCAGAGCCUCCUACACAGUAAUGGAAUCACGUAUUUGAACUGGGUUGUACAGAAGCCAGGCCAGUCUCCCCAGGGCCUAAUAUAUCAGGUUUCCAACCGGUACACUGGGGUCUCAGACAGGUUCAGUGGCAGUGGGUCAGGGACAGAUUUCACACUGAGAAUCAACAGGGUGGAGCCUGAUGAUGCUGGAGUGUAUUACUGUGUGCAAAGUCUACAUGUUCCUCCCACAGUGGUGCAGCCCCGAACAAAAACCUCCGUGCCUGGGUGGCCCAGCUGCCACAUGAGCUGCUUGUCUGGGCAGCAGCUCAGCAGAUUCUCUGCCCUGUGAGAGGAAGGUGCUGGGAACUGAGGAAACAGGUUCAGCUGAGGGCUGUGGACCAUGACUUCCUGGCCCACAGCUCAGGCCACAUCCAUGAAUGGUCGUGUCAGCUGCAGCAGCCUGGCCUGGCAUGUGGAGGUCAACACAGAGGUGUCCAGGGACCUUCUGAAUGAAACUUCUUUUCAUUUUCUUCCAGGAAUAUCUUAUAGUACUGAGCUUAGAUGGACUCAGAUGGACUGCAAGAUGCUGGAUCCAGAGGGAUAUAUUAAUGAGACAGACUCCACUCUCCCUGCCUGUCAACCCUUGACCACCUGCUUCCAUCUAGGGAAGGAUAAGAGUUGAGAAAGUCACUCAUAAAUCACCCAAAGGGUAGAAGGUUUUGCCUGGGGCUCUGCUAGUGCAGGUGAAGUGACAUCAUGCAGGCUCUGCAUCUCUACUGCCUCCAUGAAUCCUAAAGGUCGUGACUAGAUGACCCUCAGGUCAUCUCAAUGUUCCCAGUGAGCCCACUGUGGCACAGGUAAGGUUCCAAAAUAGGUUCUGUCCUCCUCAGAUGCCUGGGCAUGACUUGAGGGAGAUGGUCACUCUGCAGAGCCCUUAUGGUCAGGAUGAAGGUGAUGUUGAUCCAAAGGCAGAGCUGGACUGGGAAGGUCAGCAGGAGAUGCAGUGGGAGCCCAGGUGCAAACUUCAGGCCCCAGAAACCACAAGGAGGCAGCGUCCUCAAGAGAAUUCCAGGGGAAUGGAGGGGGUGUCCUCUGCUUAAAUACCCAGGCCCUUUUCUUCCCAGACAAGUGAAUGUGGUUGAAAUCCAAUGCAUUAUAAUCAUUCAAUUCACUAGUAUGUGGAAAUAUUUAUAUGGAGAAUAGAAAAGACUCAAUUGUUUGAAUUAAAGUAUAUUUCUGACAAAGAAAUUUAAAAUAUUAGAGUCACAGAGAAAGGAAAGACUAUGGAGCAGAAGAAAAUAUUCCAUUUAGUUUGUUUGUUUGCUUUUUCCUAAAAGGCCAUUAGGAAUCAGUAUUCUAAGAAAGAAAUGCCAGAGCCUUGUGCAAUGGAGAGAAGGAAUCCCUAUGGGAAACAGGUGAAGUGACAUCAUGCAGAUGGGAUGUCAUGAAGUUACAUCAUGCAGGUGGGAAGCCAUUCUCACACGUGAUUUGAGUUACCUCCCUGGAUGGGUGAGAGGUGCUCAGACAACUGUGUCAGAGCCUUCUCCACCCUGUCCCAGGUGCGAGGGCUUGUCUGUGUGGAGGUGUGCCUGGCCACUGACCCAAAGAUCAAUCACUGACCCUGACCUUGGAAUGCUGCCCCCCCUCGACCUUCAUUGGAUGGGAUUUUCCCUUGGAUUUUUUUGUUCCCCAAUAAAAGCUCACUCCUGGCAUGUCCUCUCUCUCUCUCUCUCUCUCUCGCUAGCCUCUUGUGUUAACCUUGCCAAUGCAUCAGGUGGCUGGAGGCAGGAGUAAGGAGAAGCCAUGUCCGGAGCUGAGCAUUAAAGUUAGAAUAUCCUUAUUUCUGGUAAGAGUGUAAGCUGACUGUGAGAAUGAAGACCAAACCCCACACCAUGCCCAGACCAGCUGAGGACACCAGCUUGGACAUCAUGCAGAAGACAACAGUGACAUUUCAUGACAGCAGAAGGUCAUGGUUCCAGGAAUCUCUUACAGUACUGACCCUAGAUGGACCCAGCUGGACUUCAAGUUGCUGGUAGAAGAGAGCAGAGCAUACCAGCCAGCAGGAUCAGAGGCCUGGUCCAAGCAACCCCUCUUACCCAGUGGGUCAUGUUUUGCUGUCAGGAAAACAGUGUGAGGCACUGAAAUCCCAAGGAGCCCUGUGAAGAGACUGAGCAGCAUCAGAACCGGAACCAGAUCCAGCAGGAAUUAUGGACCCUCACACAGAGGAGUCAAGACUCUGUGCAAAGCUCUAUGAAUGGGAAAAACUCUUCACUGGACAUUGCCCUUCACCAUGGCCUGUCUCUGAGCUUCACCAUAAAGAUCCUGGAAACAACUGUCCUUGGUCACCAUGCUCAAAAUUUGCAUUCAGUUCUGUUUCAGGCUUCCCCAUUCAAGGUGCUACCCCACGGUGUCACUGAAACUUCUGCCCAAUAUCACCUGAGACAUCCACACUGCCCAGUCCAGUGUCCGCACCAAUCCUCAUCCUACUAGACCCACCACUGUCACUUAGCACCUCAGAGCACCCUCCUCCUCCAGGCACUUUCUUCCUGAGCCUCAGGACAUCACUCUCUCCUGCUGCUCCCCCUCCCACUGCCCCUUCCCAAUCACCUUCCUGGUCCUCCCUCUCCACCUGUCCCAGAACUCAGGCCCUGGGCCUCUGCUCUGUGCAGCCCUCCCUGCAGUGGUCAUAAGAGCUCAGUCCCCAGGGCAGACCUCACCCCUGAACCCCAGCCUCUAACACUCUGUUGGCUACUUGGCAACACACUAAUGCACAUGGCCAGCCCCAACAUCUAGAGCCACAUAUCCAUCUUGCUCCCAAUGUCACUGUCCCCACUGUCUCCUCUGUCAGGACAAAUAGCAACUCCACCCUGCUAGCUUCUCAAAGUAAGAUCUCAGAGUCAUCUUGAGACUCCUUCUCUCACAUCCCUUGACCUACCACAGCAGGUUGUUCACCUCCAUCUCCAAUAUACACCCCUCACUGCUCCCUCCAGGUGCAAACCACAGGCCACAGAAAACACAAGCAGGCAACAUCCUGGGGAGAGUCCCAAGUGAAUGAGGGAGGUUUCUUCUUCUUUCUGACCCUCCCCCCGCCUGCCCACAGAAUAUGUCCAGGGAGAACCCCAGCCUGGCGUCCAGCACUCAGCUUCAGUCUGGUCUGUUAAGGGGUCUCCAUGCUCAGCCCAGGCUCAGCCUGAUUCUCUUCUCUAUGCUCCUCCAUUGAUGUUCACCUGAAACCCAACUUUGAAAUACUUUUUUAAGAAGUGUGAGGUAUCAAUGCCUACAAGAUUAUAAAUGGGUGUAUAAUUAAUGAGUUAUCAUUAGACACAACAAUUAUCAAGUAAUAAUAUAAAAAAUUAAAAAACGGGGAAAUAGAACUGAAAUCUCCAAACAAUAUCCACUUCCAAAUGCCAUCAGCGAUCCAUCAGUACUUGUUAGUGAUAAACAAAGGUAGUAUUGGACAAAAUAUUGCAUUGAUGGCCCAAAAACCCUGUCCCUGGUAUCAACACAUUGCAGGUAUUCAAGUAGUAAUUCAGUAUCUUCCGUGAAGGAUUUUGCAGCUGUAAUGAAAUAGGGGCCUUUUAGAGAGGGAGAGAGUACCAGAAUGCACCCCCUAUUGUGGAAGCCCUUGAAAUCUGGGUAGAGUCAGAGGGAGGCAAAUCUCAUGCCAGGGAAGAUUGGAUAUGGGGAGAUUCUCUAAUGCUAGUCUUGAAGAUGCAGGAGCCAGACUGUAAGUAAUUAGGGCAGCUUCCAGGAGCUCUGUGCUGAUGGCCACAGGAUAUUGGGACCUCACACUACAACUGUGAAAGGAUGACUCAGCCACAGGCACUGGACCUGGAAGAAUACCCUGAACUUCAGCAAGGAGAGCUGCCGACUUACUGCCCCAUUUCAGUCUUCUCAGGCUGAGCUGAGGACCCAGCCUGGACUCCUGAGGGACAUGCCUGGGAAGGAACACACUGCUCAAUAUGUGGGAAUUUGUAGUUCAGCCACAGAAAACUAGGAGAGAUGUCAAUGAACCAGGUAUUACAAGGAAAAUCAGAAAUCUAAAUACCAGCAGCAGUUUUCCCAUGUGGCUCAUGCUUAAUCUGCACUGUGGAUGGUUCUAUGAACUUUAGCUGUACUAUUUAUAAAAGCUGCUGUGCAGUUACUUCUGUGUACAUGUGAUGUGCAUAUUUCUAUGAGUAGAUAU